UACGAAGGGGGCUAGCGUUGCUCGGAAUCACUGGGCGUAAAGCGCACGUAGGCGGACUCUUAAGUCGGUGGUGAAAUCCUGGAGCUCAACUCCAGAACUGCCUUCGAUACUGAGAGUCUCGAGUCCGAGAGAGGUGAGUGGAACUGCGAGUGUAGAGGUGAAAUUCGUAGAUAUUCGCAAGAACACCAGUGGCGAAGGCGGCUCACUGGCUCGGUACUGACGCUGAGGUGCGAAAGCGUGGGGAGCAAACA
rnacentral:rRNA from 1 species